rnacentral:rRNA from 1 species
GAUGAACGCUGGCGGCGUGCUUAACACAUGCAAGUCGAACGGAAAGGCUCCUGCUUGCAGGGGCACUCGAGUGGCGAACGGGUGAGUAACACGUGGGUGAUCUGCCCUGCACUUCGGGAUAAGCCUGGGAAACUGGGUCUAAUACCGGAUAGGACCAUCGUUGUGUGUUGGUGGUGGAAAGUUUUUUCGGUGUGGGAUGAGCUCGCGGCCUAUCAGCUUGUUGGUGGGGUAAUGGCCUACCAAGGCGUCGACGGGUAGCCGGCCUGAGAGGGUGUACGGCCACAUUGGGACUGAGAUACGGCCCAGACUCCUACGGGAGGCAGCAGUGGGGAAUAUGGCACAAUGGGCGCAAGCCUGAUGCAGCGACGCCGCGUGGGGGAUGACGGCCUUCGGGUUGUAAACUCCUUUCGCCAGGGACGAAGCGAAAGUGACGGUACCUGGAUAAGAAGCACCGGCUAACUACGUG